UCAGGAUCAGGAUCUGCAGAGCAAUUAGUAUAGUGCUCUGCAGAUCCUGGUCCUAAUA
ensembl:miRNA